GCUGGCGGCGUGCCUAACACAUGCAAGUUGUACGAGUAAAGUCGCCUUCGGGUGGCGAGUAAAGUGGCGCACGGGUGAGUAACGCGUAGGUAAUCAGCCCCGCGGACCGGGAUAACAUCUGGUUGAUGCUAAUACCGGAUAAAAUCCCCUUUUUUACGGAAGGGGGGAUCAAAGGAAGCCUCUGAAUGUAUGCGACCGCCGAGGGAAGAGCCUGCGUGCCAUUAGCUUGUUGGUGGGGUAAUUGCCUACCAAGGCGAAGAUGGCUAGCUGGUCUGAGAGGAUGGCCAGCCACACUGGAACUGAGACACGGUCCAGACUCCUGCGGGAGGCAGCAGUGAGGAAUCUUGCGCAAUGGGGGAAACCCUGACGCAGCAACGCCGCGUGAGUGAUGAAGGCCUUCGGGUUGUAAAGCUCUGUCAGGUGGGAAGAAAGUCGCGAGGGGAUAACCUUGGCGAUCUGACGGUACCACCAAAGGAAGCACCGGCUAACUCCGUGCCAGCAGCCGCGGUAAGACGGAGGGUGCAAGCGUUGUUCGGAAUUAUUGGGCGUAAAGCGCGUGUAGGCGGUGAGAUAAGUCCGAUGUGAAAGCCUUGGGCUCAACCC
rnacentral:rRNA from 1 species